rnacentral:tRNA from 1 species
GUGGGUGUAGCUCAGUUGGUUAGAGCACCGGAUUGUGAUUCCGGGGGUCGUGGGUUCAAAUCCCAUCAUCCACC